UGUAGACUGAGCAGAGGGACAUGACUUUUACAAUGAACUGUCCUGAGAUUACCUUUGUUUUUCUUAUAGUGUCAGUUUACUGGGCUGGUACUGAUGGUCAAACACUGACUCAGUCUGAAUCAGUGGUUAAAAGGCCUGGAGACUCCCA